GAUGAACGCUAGCGGCAGGCCUAAUACAUGCAAGUCGAACGCUCAGUAGCAAUACUGGGAGUGGCGCACGGGUGCGUAACGCGUACACAAUCUACCUCUAAGCGGGGACACCUCCUGGAAACGGGGAUUAAUACCGCAUAAUAUGCCGAGGUCGCAUGACUUUGGUAUUAAAGCAGCAAUGCACUUAGAGAAUGAGUGUGCGUCCCAUUAGGUAGUUGGUGAGGUAACGGCUCACCAAGCCUAUGAUGGGUAGCCGGUCUGAGAGGAUGGUCGGCCACACGGGCACUGAGACACGGGCCCGACUCCUACGGGAGGCAGCAGUAAGGAUAUUGGUCAAUGGUGGAAACACUGAACCAGCCAUGCCGCGUGGAGGAAUAAGGU
rnacentral:rRNA from 1 species